AUGGACCGGGCGGCGCUGACGGUGGGGCCGGGCAUGGACAUGCCCAUAAUGCACGACGGCGACCGCUACGAGCUCGUCAAGGACAUCGGCUCCGGCAACUUCGGCGUCGCGCGCCUCAUGCGCAACCGCGCCGACGGCCAGCUCGUCGCCGUCAAGUACAUCGAGCGAGGGGAGAAGAUUGACGAGAACGUGCAGCGGGAGAUCAUCAACCACAGGUCGCUGCGCCACCCCAACAUCAUCCGCUUCAAGGAGGUCAUCCUCACCCCGACGCACCUCGCCAUCGUCAUGGAGUACGCCUCCGGCGGGGAGCUCUUCGAGCGCAUCUGCAACGCCGGCAGGUUCAGCGAGGACGAGGCGCGUUUCUUCUUCCAGCAGCUGCUCUCAGGAGUCAGCUACUGCCACUCCAUGCAAGUAUGCCAUCGUGACUUGAAGCUGGAGAACACCCUGCUGGACGGGAGCACGGCUCCUCGCCUCAAGAUAUGCGACUUUGGCUAUUCCAAGUCGUCGGUUCUUCAUUCGCAGCCAAAAUCUACCGUUGGAACACCGGCAUACAUUGCUCCGGAGGUUCUUCUGAAGAAGGAAUAUGAUGGAAAGAUUGCGGAUGUGUGGUCCUGUGGAGUGACACUUUAUGUUAUGCUAGUUGGUGCAUAUCCCUUUGAGGAUCCUGAUGAGCCCAAAAAUUUUAGGAAGACAAUUCAGAGGAUAUUGAGUGUGCAGUACUCGAUUCCCGAUUACGUGCACAUAUCUUCCGAGUGUCGAGAUCUUAUCGCCAAGAUUUUCGUUGGCAACCCAGCUACCAGAAUCACAAUCCCGGAGAUAAGAAACCAUCCGUGGUUCUUGAAGAACCUCCCAGCUGACCUAGUGGACGACAGCACCAUGAGCAGCCAGUAUGAGGAGCCUGAACAGCCGAUGCAGAGCAUGGACGAGAUCAUGCAGAUCCUGGCGGAGGCCACCAUCCCGGCCGCUGGUUCCCGGAUCAACCAGUUCUUGAACGACGGUCUGGACCUUGACGACGACAUGGACGACCUUGAUUCAGACGCCGACCUCGACGUCGAAAGCAGCGGGGAGAUAGUGUAUGCUAUGUGA
rnacentral:rRNA from 1 species